rnacentral:rRNA from 1 species
GAUGAACGCUGGCGGCGUGCCUAAUACAUGCAAGUCGAGCGAACAGACGAGGAGCUUGCUCCUCUGACGUUAUCGGCGGACGGGUGAUUAACACGUGGAUAACCUAACUAUAAGACUGGGAUGACUUCGGGAAACCGUAUCUAAUACCGGAUAAUAUAUUGAACCUCAUGGUUCAAUAGUUGAAGUCGGUUUUUCUUUCACUUAUAGAUUGAUCCGCCCCGCAUUAGCUAGUUGGUAAGGUAGCGGCUUACCAAGGCAACGAUGCGUAGCCGACCUGAGAGGGUGAUUGGCCACACUGGAACUGAGAAACGGCCCACACUCCUGCGGGAGGCAGCAGCAGGGAAUCUUCCGCAAUGGGGGAAUGCUUGACGGAGGACAGCGGGGUGAGUGAUGAAGGUCUAAGGAUCGUAAAACGCUGUAAUUCGGGAAGAACAAAUGUGCAAGUACCUAUGCACGUAUUGACGGUACCUAAUCAGAAAGCCCCGGCUAACUACGUG